AGCAGUCACCAAUCAGCAUAGGAUAUGAAGAGCAGGAAAAAAUAUAUCCUAUGCUGAUUGGUGACUGCU